rnacentral:rRNA from 1 species
AGUUUCUUUGCGCGAGUCAAUGGGGCAGUCCGUCAGUCUGCAACCCCAGAGGCGCAAUGAAAUGUGAGCGGUCGCUUUCGGCGUCCGCGAGUCGUGAUCCCCGUCCCUUCGCGUUCGGGGCGCAACGGCGACCCGUUCGUGCGGCGCAGCCCGCUGAGCGGAGUAGGAGCGCAAAAGUUGGCACCCGAAAGAUGGUGAUCUAUGCAAGGGCAAGACGAGGCCAGAGGAAACUCUGGUGGAGGUCUGCAGCGAUUCUGACGUGCAAAUCGAUCGUCUGACCUUUGUAUGGGAGCGAAAGACUUAUCGAGCCAUCUAGUAGCUGGUUCCCUCCGAAGUUUCCCUCAGGAUAGCUGGCGCUCGGCGGGAAGCAGUCUCAUGCGGUAAAGCGAAUGAUUAGAGGCAUUGGGGUCGAAACGACCUCAACCUAUUCUCAAACUUUCAAUGCGUGAGAUGCCGGGCUCGGUUAACUCGAGUCCGGCGAGUUCGUGCGGAUGCGAGUGCCAAGUGGGCCACUUUUGGUAAGCAGAACUGGCGCUGUGGGAUGAACCAAACGCAGAGUUAAGGCGCCCGAUGCGAGACGCACAUGGGACCCCAUUAAGGGUGUUGGUUGCUUAAGACAGCUGGGCUGUGUCCAUGGAAGUCGA